CAGAGAUUGGGCGGCUCCACCUGCACCUUCACACCUGCUCCAGAUUACUGCAAUCACCACCUGCACUUAAACCCUGCUGUGAGGCUUCUCCAGUGCCAGAUUAUUCCUCAUCUGAUGUGUACCUCCAUGAGCCCCCAGUGUUGCCACCCAAUCUCUUCCACACUGCCACACUCUCUGCCUGGAUUCACUCACCAGCCUCCUCCUCAAGCCCUCACGUCUCCAGCCUUCACCUCUCCUCCGAUUCCCUCCUCAUGCCUUGGACCCUGGACCCUGUCCCUCCACCCCUUUGUCCCUUCAAUAAAUUCACUGAACUGCUU